UACGUAGGGUGCAAGCGUUGUCCGGAAUUAUUGGGCGUAAAGAGCUUGUAGGCGGUUUGUCGCGUCUGCUGUGAAAUUUCGGGGCUCAACCCCGAACUUGCAGUGGGUACGGGCAGACUAGAGUGUGGUAGGGGAGACUGGAAUUCCUGGUGUAGCGGUGAAAUGCGCAGAUAUCAGGAGGAACACCGAUGGCGAAGGCAGGUCUCUGGGCCAUAACUGACGCUAAGAAGCGAAAGCAUGGGGAGCGAACAGG
rnacentral:rRNA from 1 species